GAUGAACGCUAGCGACAGGCCUAACACAUGCAAGUCGAGGGGCAGCACAAGGUAGCAAUACUGAGGUGGCGACCGGCGCACGGGUGAGUAACGCGUAUGCAACCUGCCUGUAACAGGGGAAUAGCCUCUUGAAAGAGAGAUUAAUGCCGCAUAAUACGAGAUUCGGGCAUCCGGAUUUAGUUAAACAUUUAUGGGUUACAGAUGGGCAUGCGUUUCAUUAGGUAGUUGGUGAGGUAACGGCUCACCAAGCCGACGAUGAAUAGGGGUUCUGAGAGGAAGGUCCCCCACACUGGUACUGAGACACGGACCAGACUCCUACGGGAGGCAGCAGUGAGGAAUAUUGGUCAAUGGACGCAAGUCUGAACCAGCCAAGUCGCGUGAAGGAUGAAGGUAUUAUGUAUUGUAAACUUCUUUUGUCAGGGAAUAAUGGGUGUCACGUGUGACGCAGAGGAAUGUACCUGACGAAUAAGCAUCGGCUAACUCCGUGCCAGCAGCCGCGGUAAUACGGAGGAUGCGAGCGUUAUCCGGAUUUAUUGGGUUUNAAGGGUGCGUAG
rnacentral:rRNA from 1 species